rnacentral:rRNA from 1 species
UGUACCCGCGGCAAGACGGAAAGACCCCGUGAACCUUUACUAUAGCUUGACACUGAACAUUGAGCCUUGAUGUGUAGGAUAGGUGGGAGGCUUUGAAGUGUGGACGCCAGUCUGCAUGGAGCCGACCUUGAAAUACCACCCUUUAAUGUUUGAUGUUCUAACGUUGGCCCCUAAUCGGGGUUGCGGACAGUGUCUGGUGGGUAGUUUGACUGGGGCGGUCUCCUCCUAAAGAGUAACGGAGGAGCACGAAGGUUGGCUAAUCCUGGUCGGACAUCAGGAGGUUAGUGCAAUGGCAUAAGCCAGCUUGACUGCGAGCGUGACGGCGCGAGCAGGUGCGAAAGCAGGUCAUAGUGAUCCGGUGGUUCUGAAUGGAAGGGCCAUCGCUCAACGGAUAAAAGGUACUCCGGGGAUAACAGGCUGAUACCGCCCAAGAGUUCAUAUCGACGGCGGUGUUUGGCACCUCGAUGUCGGCUCAUCACAUCCUGGGGCUGAAGUAGGUCCCAAGGGUAUGGCUGUUCGCCAUUUAAAGUGGUACGCGAGCUGGGUUUAGAACGUCGUGAGACAGUUCGGUCCCUAUCUGCCGUGGGCGCUGGAGAACUGAGGGGGGCUGCUCCUAGUACGAGAGGACCGGAGUGGACGCAUCACUGGUGUUCGGGUUGUCAUGCCAAUGGCACUGCCCGGUAGCUAAAUGCGGAAGAGAUAAGUGCUGAAAGCAUCUAAGCACGAAACUUGCCCCG